GCUCAAAGUUGGAACCUGUUUGGCCUAGCUAAACCGGAUUGUAAACUGUAGAAACGUUUUCCAAGGCUCCCCGGGCGAAUAAGUCCUUUGGAACAGGGCAUCAUAGAGGGUGAGAAUCCCGUCUUUGGUCUGAGUGGAAGCCUUUUUGCGAUACGUUUUCAAAGAGUCAGGUUGUUUGGGAAUGCAGCCUAAAUUGGGUGGUAAAUCUCACCUAAAGCUAAAUAUUUGCGAGAGACCGAUAGCGAACAAGUACCGUGAGGGAAAGAUGAAAAGAACUUUGAAAAGAGAGUUAAACAGUAUGUGAAAUUGUUAAAAGGGAACCGUUUGGAGCCAGACUGGCUUGAUCGUAAUCAAUCUAGGCUUCGGCCUGGAUGCACUUGCGGUCUAUUGCCUGCCAACGACAGUUUUGCUUGAAGGAUAAAGCUAGGAGGAAUGUGGCCCCUCGGGGUGUUAUAGCCUUCUAGGUAAUACUUUGGGCGAGACUGAGGAACGCAGUGAAUGCUAUUAUGGCGAGUUUGUCUAGGGGCUUUGUCUCCAAGGACUGGUGAAUUUCUGCUU
rnacentral:rRNA from 1 species